CGCCCCGCCCCGCCCCCGGCCGCAGUCGGUGAGUGGCCGCCGUCAGGGACGGACGCUCCGCGCAGAGGCUCCGCCGCCGCCAUGGCCGACCCUGCCGCUCAGUCCCCGUUCGUUUCCUCCUCCUCGGCCCCAUCCGAGCCCGCCGGGCCGGCCUGCACGCGGCACGGGACCCCGGCCUGCGCCGGUAAGAGCCGGGAGGAGAGAGAAGCGGGCCCGGCUGGGCGAGGCCUUUUGGGGCCUACGUGGGGAAUUCGCGGGCCGAAAUGUGGAACUUGGAGGAGGAAAUGUAGGAUUUGGGGCGUAAGUGGGGGAUUUUGCGGCGUGGGUGAGGAGAACGGCGGCCUUGAGGCUCGAAUAAAAGGGACAGAUGGACGUAAAUGGGGUCCGGAGGACAUAAAUACGGG
rnacentral:lncRNA from 1 species